CCUGGGAUUGACACACGCCCAAGAUUCCUACGGGGGGCACCAAUAGGAAAUUUUCACAAAUGGAGAAAAUUUUAAUGAACAACCCCGCGUGAAUGAAGAAGGUUUUCGGAUCGUAAAACUCUGUUGUUGGAGAAGAAUGUAUCUGAUAGUAACUGAUCAGGUAGUGACGGUAUCCAACCAGAAAGCCACGGCUAACUACGUGCCAGCAGCCGCGGUAAUACGUAGGUGGCAAGCGUUGUCCGGAUUUAUUGGGCGUAAAGCGAGCGCAGGCGGUUUCUUAAGUCUGAUGUGAAAGCCUUCGGCUCAACCGAAGAAGUGCAUCGGAAACUGGGAAACUUGAGUGCAGAAGAGGACAGUGGAACUCCAUGUGUAGCGGUGAAAUGCGUAGAUAUAUGGAAGAACACCAGUGGCGAAGGCGGCUGUCUGGUCUGUAACUGACGCUGAGGCUCGAAAGCAUGGGUAGCAAACAGGAUUAGAUACCCUGGUAGUCCAUGCCGUAAACGAUGAGUGCUAGGUGUUGGAGGGUUUCCGCCCUUCAGUGCCGCAGCUAACGCAUUAAGCACUCCGCCUGGGGAGUACGACCGCAAGGUUGAAACUCAAAGGAAUUGACGGGGGCCCGCACAAGCGGUGGAGCAUGUGGUUUAAUUCGAAGCAACGCGAAGAACCUUACCAGGUCUUGACAUCCUUUGACCACUCUAGAGAUAGAGCUUUCCCUUCGGGGACAAAGUGACAGGUGGUGCAUGGUUGUCGUCAGCUCGUGUCGUGAGAUGUUGGGUUAAGUCCCGCAACGAGCGCAACCCUUAUUACUAGUUGCCAGCAUUAAGUUGGGCACUCUAGUGAGACUGCCGGU
rnacentral:rRNA from 2 species